UCUCCGUUGGUGAACCAGCGGAGGGAUCAUUACCGAGUUUACAACUCCCAGACCCCUGUGAACAUACCUGUUUUGUUGCUUCGGCGGUGCCCUCGCUCUCGCGGCGAGGCCCGCCAGAGGACCCAAACAAACUCUUUGACUUUGAUCUAGGAUUAUACUUCUGAGUGAUACAAAAAAUAAAACCAAAACUUUCAACAACGGAUCUCUUGGUUCUG
rnacentral:misc_RNA from 1 species